AUUUACAAAACAACAAAUUAUACCUAUUUAGGACAUUUUUUACCCUUAUGUACCAUUCAUGCAUUGCUCAACACUGAAGAGUCGAGCAUCGAGCAUAGAGCACCUCGAGCAUCGCGUGUCGAGCAAUUAAGCGUCAAACACUGAACUGUCGAACACUGAACCGACGAAGCAGAUGAACGGCGCGGCACAGCAAGGCAGGGGGGCACCAGAGAGAGAGAGAGAGAUGGCAGAGAUUCUGAGCGGUGCGAUCCGGCGUAGCAAGAUUGAGAAAUGAACGCACGACAAAGAGAGGUGCGACGAAGCGGAGGCGAGGUGCGACGCAACAGAUUUUGAAGGCAAAGGGCGGCGCGACGAGGCGGAGGCGCGCAAUGCAGAGGCUAAGGGGAGAGGUGGUGGAGAGAGAAAGAGAGAAGAUGGCAGUGCGACGCUGAGGCGAGGUGCGACGCAGCAGAUUUUGAAGGCAAAGGGCGGCGCGACGAGGCGGAGGCGCGCAAUGCAGAGGCUAAGGGGAGAGGUGGUGGAGAGAGAAAGAGAGAAGAUGGCAGUGCGACUGAGCGGAGGAGAGGCUGAGGCGGGUGGCAGUGAAGCGCGGCGAAGGCACAGUGCAGCUGUGCGGAGACGCAAGCCCGUCUUACCCCGAAUAUCGUGAAUUUAGUAUUAUUUUAAAUAACUAAGUCUAAAUGAGGUGGAAAAUUUUCAUGUAUCAGGUGCAAGCCCGUAUAUGAUAAGGUUAGUUUUAGUAAAGGUAACUAAAAACUAAAAUGGGGGAUAGAUAUACAAACACUUAGACAAAUGGACUCAUUCAGAUAAAGUUAGCUCUCAUCCUAAUAAAUAAACCAUGGGGCGAACUCUCUGGUAGUUGGAACUCGCCAAAAAAAUAUAGUCAAUAAUACAGUAAGAGUUCAAGUUUAGCCCAAUGGCAUAGACCUAAACUGGGGGAGUCUUAGGGCACAUAAGCCCGAUGCAAAUAUAAAGAUUCUUAGAGCACAUCCGCCUAUUCAAAUACAAAUAAAGAUGAAAACGACAUAAAUUGUCGCCAUCGACGUCGCCUGGGAUCUCAUUCUCAUGGUGUGCAGCUUGAAUUUUCUUCCACAAUUGGAUAUUUCCAACAUUGUUCUAAGUUGUAGGACUCAGACUUGCUCACGCAUCUUAGCUCGGGAUUGAAUCGCAGCUUCAUAACAAGCAUUUUGGAUAUUUUCGCACUGCAUUACAUCCAUCUCAGCUAGUUUAGCCUUCAGAUAACUAUUUUUUUCGUCCUUCAAAGCUAACUGAGCCCGAAGAGACACCUCUAGAUCCUUUAGCUCCGCUUGGCCCCCCU
rnacentral:lncRNA from 1 species